rnacentral:misc_RNA from 1 species
AGUGAGUCGAAAGAGGAGUUCUUGCUGGCAUUGGAGGCUGCUGAAGCUGGUGGCAGUCAGUGGGCUUAUUUGCUUCCUCAGAUUCAUGUGAAUUUGGGAAUUGCUCUUGAAGGCGAAGGUAUGGUUAUAAGUGCCUGUGAACAUUAUAGAGAGGCUGCUAUUUUGUGUCCAACUCAUUUUAGAGCUUUGAAACUUUUGGGUAGUGCACUUUUUGGCGUGGGUGAGUAUAAGGCAGCUGUUAAGGCAUUAGAAGAGGCCAUUUAUAUGAAGAGUG